AUUGAACGCUGGCGGCAGGCCUAACACAGGCAAGUCGAGCGGGAUUUACCUUCGGGUAAUGAGAGCGGCGGACGGGUGAGUAAUGCUUGGGAAUCUACCUAGUAGUGGGGGACAACAGUUGGAAACGACUGCUAAUACCACAUACGCCCUACGGGGGAAAGGGGGGGAUCUUCGGACCUCUUGCUAUUAGAUGAGCCCAAGUCGGAUUAGCUAGUUGGUGGGGUAAAGGCCUACCAAGGCGACGAUCCGUAGCUAGUUUGAGAGGAUGAUCAGCCACACUGGGACUGAGACACGGCCCAGACUCCUACGGGAGGCAGCAGUGGGGAAUAUUGGACAAUGGGCGCAAGCCUGAUCCAGCCAUGCCGCGUGUGUGAAGAAGGCCCUAGGGUUGUAAAGCACUUUAAGUAGGGAGGAAGGUCUGGUAAUUAAUACUUAUCAGGAUUGACGUUACCUACAGAAUAAGCACCGGCUAACUCCGUGCCAGCAGCCGCAGUAA
rnacentral:rRNA from 1 species